rnacentral:rRNA from 1 species
GACGAACGCUGGCGGCGUGCCUAAUACAUGCAAGUCGAACGCACAGUUUAUACCGUAGCUUGCUACACCAUAGACUGUGAGUUGCGAACGGGUGAGUAACGCGUAGGUAACCUGCCUGGUAGCGGGGGAUAACUAUUGGAAACGAUAGCUAAUACCGCAUAAUAUUGAUUAUUGCAUGAUAAUUGAUUGAAAGAUGCUAUUGCAUCACUACCAGAUGGACCUGCGUUGUAUUAGCUAGUAGGUGAGGUAACGGCUCACCUAGGCGACGAUACAUAGCCGACCGGAGAGGGUGAUCGGCCACACUGGGACUGAGACACGGCCCAGACUCCUACGGGAGGCAGCAGUAGGGAAUCUUCGGCAAUGGACGAAAGUCUGACCGAGCAACGCCGCGUGAGUGAAGAAGGUUUUCGGAUCGUAAAGCUCUGUUGUAAGAGAAGAACGGGUGUGAGAGUGGAAAGUUCACACUGUGACGGUAUCUUACCAGAAAGAGACGGCUAACUACGUG